rnacentral:rRNA from 1 species
UGGGGAAUAUUGCACAAUGGAGGGAACUCUGAUGCAGCGACGCCGCGUGAGUGAUGAAGGAAUUCGUUUCGUAAAACUCUGUUCUAUGGGAAGAAACGGACUGUACCAUAGGAGAAAGCUCCGGCUAAAUACGUGCCAGCAGCCGCGGUAAUACGUAUGGAGCGAGCGUUGUCCGGAAUUAUUGGGCGUAAAGGGUGCGCAGGCGGCUUUACAAGUUGGAUGUGAAAUAUUGUGGCUCAACCACAAACGUGCAUCCAAAACUGCAAAGCUUGAGUUAAGGAGAGGUAAGUGGAAUUCCUGGUGUAGCGGUGGAAUGCGUAGAUAUCAGGAGGAAUACCGGUGGCGAAGGCGACUUACUGGACUUAAACUGACGCUCAGGCACGAAAGCGUGGGGAGCAAACAGG